rnacentral:piRNA from 1 species
UGGUGAGAGACUUCGCCCAGUGGGUAA